CCAUAGGAUAUUUUCCACAGCCUGGCCCAUCUUCCCUUAUUCCUGGGAGGGCAUGAAGGAUACAGGAGAGAGUCAUUGACUGUUGGGGCCUUAAAGAACAAUGUUGCCUGAUACAGUCUAUAACAGAAAAGAUAUAGCCCUGGGUGAAAAUGACCACUGAUCUUUCCCAUGAAUUUAUAGGUCUGGUUGAUUAAGGAGUGAAGAACAGAAGUUAGGCCCUUUCUGCCCUCCUCCCCCUUAGGGCCUCUCAAGUUUUUGACUGCGUAGACAGAGCUAACUUGUACCUACUUUUAUCAUCUCCCUCUGCCCACCACUCCCAGACAGACUGGAAAGUUCUGGACAGAAGCCUACACUUUCGGCGAGCUAGUGGUCAAAACAUCCAGAAAACUUCAAAGUGCUGAAUGCUCAGGCAGAGGAGGUACGAAGAGAAGCGGUGAGCUUGACAUUGUGAUGAGUGGAGCAGGGGGAAGUCUCUGCUACUCUCUUCGGUCCUUGCCUUUGCUCUGGGAAGUCAUUGAUCUGCUCUGAGGGGAAGCGGCUCUCUAUGCAGCAAAGUCCAUUGCUGCACUAAAUAUUCGUCAUCAGCAAAGAGCAAGUGCAUGUUUUUGAGUAGCACAGUUCUACCGAGAAUGACUGCAGGUGUUGAAAAGGUUGCUUUGGGUCAGUAGUAACAUCAUCUCCAACACCUCAGAGCCGUGGGUCUACGGGACGUAGUGGACACUGAGGAACAAACAGAUAUCCUUCUUCUCCUGACCACCACCUUUAUCUCCAUCUCUUGGCCACUCUGGACAGCUGUGAGCCAGUCGCCAGAGGAGGAGAGAGAACAGCAGCAAUGACCCAACAGCAAUGUGAGGUUGAAAGUGACACGUAUGAGGACAAGUAGCCCCACUUACGCUCCCAUCUGGGAUGCUCGGGCCCCCACCUUGGCCUGGCACCAAAACCACAUGUUGUUCAUUAAAACACAGACAUCCUGAUCUCAGACUUUGAAGACAGGAAUCAUCCAUCCCAAACCAGACACUGCCCACAAGUAGCUGAGAAGGAAGCUGAAGGUGGUGAAUGAUUAGCAGAACUGGCAAACAGCUCCGGAGCCUGUGGACACCGAGUCCUGGAAACCUGUGUCAUGAGGACAACUUAGUUUGACCGCA
rnacentral:lncRNA from 1 species